GAUGAACGCUGGCGGCGUGCCUAAUACAUGCAAGUCGAGCGAACAGACGAGGAGCUUGCUCCUCUGACGUUAGCGGCGGACGGGUGAUUAACACGUGGAUAACCUACCUAUAAGACUGGGAUAACUUCGGGAAACCGGAGCUAAUACCGGAUAAUAUAUUGAACCGCAUGGUUCAAUAGUGAAAGACGGUUUUGCUGUCACUUAUAGAUGGAUCCGCGCCGCAUUAGCUAGUUGGUAAGGUAACGGCCUACCAAGGCAACGAUGCGUAGCCGACCUGAGAGGGUGAUCGGCCACACUGGAACUGAGACACGGUCCAGACUCCUACGGGAGGCAGCAGUAGGGAAUCUUCCGCAAUGGGCGAAAGCCUGACGGAGCAACGCCGCGUGAGUGAUGAAGGUCUUCGGAUCGUAAAACGCUGUUAUUAGGGAAGAACAAAUGUGUAAGUAACUAUGCACGUCUUGACGGUACCUAAUCAGAAAGCAACGGCUAACUACGUG
rnacentral:rRNA from 1 species